rnacentral:rRNA from 1 species
GCGAACGGGUGAGUAACACGUGAGCAACCUGCCCUAGGCUUUGGGAUAACCCUCGGAAACGGGGGCUAAUACCGAAUAUUCACUCAUGGGCGCAUGUUUGUGGGUGGAAAGUUUUUCGGCUUGGGAUGGGCUCGCGGCCUAUCAGCUUGUUGGUGGGGUAAUGGCCUACCAAGGCGACGACGGGUAGCCGGCCUGAGAGGGCGACCGGCCACACUGGGACUGAGACACGGCCCAGACUCCUACGGGAGGCAGCAGUGGGGAAUAUUGCACAAUGGGCGGAAGCCUGAUGCAGCGACGCCGCGUGAGGGAUGACGGCCUUCGGGUUGUAAACCUCUUUCAGCAGGGACGAAGCGCAAGUGACGGUACCUGCAGAAGAAGCGCCGGCCAACUACGUGCCAGCAGCCGCGGUAAGACGUAGGGCGCGAGCGUUGUCCGGAUUUAUUGGGCGUAAAGAGCUCGUAGGCGGCUUGUCGCGUCGACUGUGAAAACCCGUGGCUCAACUGCGGGCCUGCAGUCGAUACGGGCAGGCUAGAGUUCGGUAGGGGAGACUGGAAUUCCUGGUGUAGCGGUGAAAUGCGCAGAUAUCAGGAGGAACACCGGUGGCGAAGGCGGGUCUCUGG